GACAUUUGGUGAUACUGAAAGCCGUUUCCAAGCUGCUUCAAUAAAGCUCUUCACAUAGGAAACUACAGAGGGAGCAUUUGGAAGGGCAAAGAGAGAAGAAUUCAAACCCUGGAAAAGGUACAUGUGAUACCAAAUGAGGCCACGAAACGGGGCCAUGUUUUGUAAACCAGAGCUAAUAUUUUCCAUCUGUAACCAAGUACAAGACUGAUGAAGGACAUAAAGAAUAUUCUGCAAUGGAGAAGGUCUGGAAGAAGAAAUCCCUACUCUUUAAAAAUAAUUAAAAAUAAAAAAGCAAGCAAAACAAAAAACCAAAAGCACCAAACUGCAUUUAAUUUGAGUUUAUUUCUCUCAUUAUAAUUUGUAGUGUCCUGAAAAUGAAUGCUAUUUUUUUUUACAGCAAAGUGUACCUUAAACAGCUCAAAGCAGCUAUGAGCAAACUGAUUCUCCAGAGAGACCUUUGUAACUAUUUUGCAGUUUAGGACAAAACAUUUCGAUUUAGUAGAUGAAUUUUUAACAUUCUCGUGAAAAUGCAUUGCAUAUGUUGUUGGGCAAAAUCUCAAAUAUGGGCCAGUUAUGAUGUGAGUUCUUCCUAUAGAACUUACCAGGCUUUGCCCAAGUUGAUUUAUUUUCUAGUAUACCCAAACUUAUACAUGUUAUGAGAAAACCAAGACUCCAGCUUUACUCCAGCAA